UCUCGCUUGUGAAAGCUUGCAAUUUUGUGCUUGUCUAUUGUGAUGAGUUUGAGUUAAUUUCCUUAUGGUUUUUCAGCUGUUAUUGCAUUUUUUACUUUUUCCAAGAUCAUCUUAUGUGAGAAAUCCAUUUUGUUUUUAUUUGAACUUAGUUCUAAAUUCUUGAAUUAAUUAGAUCUUUUUUUUGGGAAAGGAAUUGUGUAGAUCUUAUUGUUCUGUUGCAAAGUGGUUGAUAUGAUCAAGAUCUUCUUGAUAGCUCAUGCAUAGGGUUAUGAAGUUGGAAUUUUCAUUUUUCCUAAAGGAGCUUAACUUAUGAGUUGACAGAAAUUGUCAAGUUUCUAAUGGAGAAAUGUGAUGCUUUUGUUGUUCAACCCCUUCCCAUUCCUAGUUGAGGUUGUUGAAAGGAGAUUGAAAGUGGAAUGGAAAUGGCAGCAAGAACAUGUUUCUAUGUAACACCGGAUGUAUUAAUCUAUCACUUACCGAAUUUAACAGAGUGAAAAAAGGAUGCGUGGUUUUUGUGAAUAA